CCUACGGGUGGCAGCAGUGAGGAAUAUUGGUCAAUGGCCGGAAGCCUGAACCAGCCAUGCCGCGUGAAGGUCAGUGCCCUAUGGGCGUUAAACUUCUUUUGUGCGGGAGCAAUAAUGGUCACGUGUGGCCAGACGAGAGUACCGUACGAAUAAGCACCGGCUAACUCCGCGCAAGCAGCGGCGGUGCUAUGGGGGAUGCAAGCGGUAUCCGGAUUUAUUGGGGUUAAAGGGGGAGUAUGGUGUGAGGUUAGUCACCGGGGAAAUGCCCCCGCUCAACGGGGUGAAGGGCCAUUGAUACUGGCUGGCUGGAGUGCGGAUGCGGAGGGAGGAAUGUGUGGUGUAGCGGUGAAAUGCAUAGAUAUCACACAGAACACCGAUUGCGAAGGCAUCUCACGAAUCCGCGAUUGACGCUGAUGCACGAAAGCGUGGGUAUCAAACAGGAUUAGAUACCCUUGUAGUC
rnacentral:rRNA from 1 species